GGGCCCGUAGCUCAGCCAGGUAGAGUACCGGACUUUUAACUGCAAUAGAAAGACUGCAAUAGAAAGAAAUCCGGCUGUCUCGGGUUCGAAUCCCGACGGGCCCG
rnacentral:tRNA from 1 species